rnacentral:snRNA from 1 species
AUUGAUUCUUGGCCUCUUUGCUAAGAUCCAGUGUAGCAUUUAUUCUUUUCAGUUUAAAAUCUGAUAUGAUAUUAAUUGGAUUUUUAGAGCAGGGAGAUGGAAUAGGAGCUUUCUUUGUCCACUCCAUGCAUAGACCCGGUAUCACGGUGCCUCUAGGAAUCAUGCAACACAC